rnacentral:rRNA from 1 species
GAUGAACGCUAGCGGCAGGCUUAAUACAUGCAAGUCGAGGGGUAGCAAGAUUGUAGCAAUACAAUUGUUGACGACCGGCAAACGGGUGCGGAACACGUACACAACCUUCCUACAAGUGGGGAAUAGCCCAGAGAAACUUGGAUUAAUACCCCGUAACAUAGCGAUGUGGCAUCACAUUGCUAUUAUAGCUUCGGCGCUUGUUGAUGGGUGUGCGGCUGAUUAGAUAGUUGGCGGGGUAACGGCCCACCAAGUCUACGAUCAGUAGCUGAUGUGAGAGCAUGAUCAGCCACACGGGCACUGAGAAACGGGCCCGACUCCUACGGGAGGCAGCAGUAAGGAAUAUUGGACAAUGGACGCAAGUCUGAUCCAGCCAUGCCGCGUGAAGGAUUAAGGUCCUCUGGAUUGUAAACUUCUUUUAUAAGGGACGAAAAAAGGUCUUUCUAGAUCGUCUGACGGUACCUUAUGAAUAAGCACCGGCUAGCUCCGUGCCAGCCGCCGCCGUAACAC